rnacentral:rRNA from 1 species
ACCCGCUGAAUUUAAGCAUAUAAGUAAGCGGAGGAUAAGAAACUAAAUAGGAUUCCCUCAGUAAUGGCGAAUGAACAGGGAUAAGCUCAGCAUGGAAAUUGGGGCCCUCGGCCUUGAAUUGUAGUCUUGAGAUGUGUUACCAACGGAGGCGCAGAUGUAAGCCUCUUGGAAAAGAGCGUCAGGGAGGGUGAGAGUCCCGUAUGUCAUCUGCAGUUCUCUGUGCACGGUGCAUGUUCUAAGAGUCACGUUCCUCGGGAUUGGAGCGCAAAUUGGGUGGUAAAUUUCAUCUAAAGCUAAAUAUUGGUUCGAGACCGAUAGCAAACAAGUACCAUGAGGGAAAGGUGAAAAGGACUUUGAAAAGAGAGUUAAAAGUGCCUGAAAUUGCUGAAAGGGAAGCGAAUGGAACCAGUUGUUCUUGGUGAGUAUUGGUGUUGUCUAAAGUGAUGGCUUGCCACUUCAACGCAAGUGUGGUGGCAGGUUUUGAUCUGGAUGCGAUACUGCUUCUCGCCUUGCAUGUCAACGUCAGUUCAUAAUUGAGGAAAACUCUAAGGACAUGGUAAUUCGCUUCCGAGUGACUGAAUGUCCUCAGUUGAACUCAUUUUUGAACUGCUCUCUGUGUGUCUGGUAGCACUGCUUCAUGUGCUUGCCUGCGAUCUUCUGCUCUGCAUGAAGGUUGUUGGUGCCAGGAGCAUGUCCUUGACAUUAGAACGAUGACGAAAUGGUUUUAUUCGACCCGUCCUUGAAACACGGACCAAGGAAAUCA